rnacentral:rRNA from 1 species
UCAAGAAACUUCCACAAUGGGCGAAAGCCUGAUGGAGCGACGUCGCGUGAUGGACGAAGUGCUUCGGCACGUAAACAUCUUUUAUGUGGGAUGAAAUUAUUGACAGUACCACAUGAAUAAGGGGCUCCUAACUCUGUGCCAGCAGGAGCGGUAAUACAGAGGCCCCAAGCGUUAUCCGGAAUCACUGGGCGUAAAGGGUGUCGAGGCGGUUGUAUUAGUCGUUCGUAAAAUCUACGAGCUUAACUUGUAGGCGGCGAACGAAACGGUACGACUUGAGGUUUGGAGAGGUGCGUGGAACUCACGGUGCAGGGGUGAAAUCCGUUGAUAUCGUGGGGAACACCAAAGGCGAAGGCAGCGCACUGGCCAAAAUCUGACGCUCACACACGAAAGCUAGGGUAGCGAAGAGGAUUAGAUACCCACGUAGUCCCUGAGCGGGCUGGCAAGGCGCAU